rfam:Nippostrongylus brasiliensis genome assembly, scaffold: NBR_contig0005672
GUCUCAGUAGCAUAGCGGUUAAUGCACAGCCCCGGUAAGGCUCGAGACGCGGGUUCAAAUCCCGCCUGAUAUG